GAUGAACGCUUGCUACAGGCUUAACACAUGCAAGUCGAGGGGCAGCAUUUUAGUUUGCUUGCAAACUGAAGAUGGCGACCGGCGCACGGGUGAGUAACACGUAUCCAACCUGCCGAUAACUCCGGAAUAGCCUUUCGAAAGAAAGAUUAAUACCGGAUAGCAUACGAAUAUCGCAUGAUAUUUUUAUUAAAGAAUUUCGGUUAUCGAUGGGGAUGCGUUCCAUUAGUUUGUUGGCGGGGUAACGGCCCACCAAGACUACGAUGGAUAGGGGUUCUGAGAGGAAGGUCCCCCACAUUGGAACUGAGACACGGUCCAAACUCCUACGGGAGGCAGCAGUGAGGAAUAUUGGUCAAUGGGCGAGAGCCUGAACCAGCCAAGUAGCGUGAAGGAUGAAGGCUCUAUGGGUCGUAAACUUCUUUUAUAUGGGAAUAAAGUUUUCCACGUGUGGAAUUUUGUAUGUACCAUAUGAAUAAGGAUCGGCUAACUCCGUGCCAGCAGCCGCGGUAAUACGGAGGAUCCGAGCGUUAUCCGGAUUUAUUGGGUUUAAAGGGAGCGUAGGUGGAUUGUUAAGUCAGUUGUGAAAGUUUGCGGCUCAACCGUAAAAUUGCAGUUGAAACUGGCAGUCUUGAGUACAGUAGAGGUGGGCGGAAUUCGUGGUGUAGCGGUGAAAUGCUUAGAUAUCACGAAGAACUCCGAUUGCGAAGGCAGCUCACUAGACUGUCACUGACACUGAUGCUCGAAAGUGUGGGUAUCAAACAGGAUUAGAUACCCUGGUAGUCCACACAGUAAACGAUGAAUACUCGCUGUUUGCGAUAUACAGUAAGCGGCCAAGCGAAAGCAUUAAGUAUUCCACCUGGGGAGUACGCCGGCAACGGUGAAACUCAAAGGAAUUGACGGGGGCCCGCACAAGCGGAGGAACAUGUGGUUUAAUUUGAUGAUACGCGAGGAACCUUACCCGGGCUUAAAUUGCAACAGAAUAUAUUGGAAACAGUAUAGCCGUAAGGCUGUUGUGAAGGUGCUGCAUGGUUGUCGUCAGCUCGUGCCGUGAGGUGUCGGCUUAAGUGCCAUAACGAGCGCAACCCUUAUCUUUAGUUACUAACAGGUUAUGCUGAGGACUCUAGAGAGACUGCCGUCGUAAGAUGUGAGGAAGGUGGGGAUGACGUCAAAUCAGCACGGCCCUUACGUCCGGGGCUACACACGUGUUACAAUGGGGGGUACAGAAGGCGGCUACCUGGUGACAGGAUGCUAAUCCCAAAAACCUCUCUCAGUUCGGAUCGAAGUCUGCAACCCGACUUCGUGAAGCUGGAUUCGCUAGUAAUCGCGCAUCAGCCAUGGCGCGGUGAAUACGUUCCCGGGCCUUGUACACACCGCCCGUCAAGCCAUGAAAGCCGGGGGUACCUGAAGUACGUAACCGCAAGGAGCGUCCUAGGGUAAAACUGGUAAUUGGGGCUAAGU
rnacentral:rRNA from 1 species